rnacentral:lncRNA from 1 species
CACAAGUCAAAUCACAAGCCAAAUCGCACAUCCAUCACAAGUCAAAUCGCAGGUCCUUCACAAGUCAAAUCACAAGCCCAAGUCCAUCAAGUCAAAUCCAUCAAGUCCAUCACAAGUCAAGUCACAAGGUCACAAGUAAUGGUGGAUAACAAAUGACAGAGGAUUGCACUUGACUUGAGGCUCAAGGACUUGGAUUGACUUGUCGUUGUUUUGUGAUGAUUUGUCGUGACAUGUUAUGGACGUGGGGUGGCCUUGACUACAAACUCAGCACCGUGGCAGUAUUUUAACAAUCAUUCCAUUCCGAGGAAUCCACCGGACUUGAUAUAUUUCAAUUUUUUAUGUAUAAUUUAGUGGACAUUAAAAUGAAUCUCGUAAUGUUAAAAAUAGAUCCAUCAUGACUUCCAAGUAAGACCACCAACAAUAAUAACUGAUUUCCCAUAAAGAACUUUUGCACAUUAUGAUUAUUUUUAUUUUUUUUUUCAAGUUAUUUGUUUCCGAUACCUUGAAAGAGAUUAGGAACUACCAUUUGAGUGUAUUUGUUUUCUACCAGAAUUAAAAUAUUAAAUAUUACCCUAAAUAUUAAAUUUUGUUUUGGCAGGUAUCUGUGCUUCCACCAUAAAUGGCUGAUUUCAUCAACUCAGUUAUUUGAUGUUUGUUUACAUUUUGUAAAAAUAUAAUAUUGUCUGUAUAUCCGAGAUGCGACCAUUUUUUUUCCAGUUCAGCCACAGUAGUUUCAAAAAAUACUCACUGCUUAUUUUUCGCAAGACAGAAGUUUUUUGUCACCAGAAAUUACCGCGAGCUUUUCUUGGGCAACUUUUAUAGCAUUUUCACCCAUUUUAAUACAUAUUUUCUCCCUUCGAGAAGCAGGCACGAAGUGAAUUGGGAUAGCAAACAUGUUUCUGAUUGUCAAGUACAAUUAUUCUCAUUUUCUACUGUGCAGAAUCAUGUUUUCGAUUUAAUGAAACAACGAACUAAAAUCACCAUAUUUUUGACAAGGUUGACAAUUUUGUUUCAACCUGAUCAUUUAUAAUCACCUGCACAUAAUGAUUUUAUCACACUUUUUUUUUGACCACGUGAACACCGUAUUAAAAAAGUGGGCCCACCUUUAUUUGUUACAGUGUGUUAGUGAAAGUAUUCUGUCCAAUUUUUCAUACGACAGAAUUGUUUUAUCGCACAUGUAUUCUUGCUUUUUGAUAUAUACACACGAUUACCAAAACAAAUUGGUAGGCUGUAUUGAAAAAAAUUGCACAAUUAAGCACCAUUUUGAAAUAUUACUCUAUGCUGAACAUGACCUCUAUUGGUCAGAAAUUUCGGAUCCUGUUUUUGAUCACAUUCCCUCUAUUUGUGUAAUCAAUUAAUUACACAAAUAAAUUCCUUCUUUUGCCAAGAAGUGUAUUCUUGUGCACAAAAAAAGCGUCUUCCCUGCUUUUUUUUGGUUUUACUUGUACAAAUAAAAUUAUUCUUUGUAUUAUAUAUUUAUGAAUCUUUCACCAGCGUUAUGUAUAAGCUAUACAUAUAUAUCAAGGCUUUUUGAAAGGCAGUGUUGUGUAAUAUUUUGCUGUUUUUUCAUUAUUGAUAACAAAUUUUUGUUAAUACAUGUAAGUGUAUGUCAUACAGCAAGUGAAUCAUGUUGUAUCUGCUUCUUGUAUUGUGAAAUAAAAACAAGACAAAUUAAUUUCGAA